AAGGCCUUUCUUCUGAAACUUGCUCACAUGCCCUCUUCCCCUACUAGUUCCCUGAGGACAGAAACUAUCUUAUUUUCUAUGUCCCCAGUGCUUGUUACAUGGCCCAGCACAUAAAACAUGCUCUACUUGCUGAACAAGUGGAGAAAACAUGCUGCCCAAACAUGGGUUUCUCCAAGAUAUUUUACUUGCAUCAUCACAACAGGCCAAUGGACAGUGCUCCUCUUUAGCACCCUUUCGGCCUUUGACAGAGCAAAUGGAAAGGCAAAGUCAAGCAGCAUGAGGAAGAUCAGGAAUGUACUCAUCAUGAUUCAGCCAUUCAUUCCACCUAGGAUUGAAACAAGGUACUCUUUGAGUGUUCACAUUGUCACAUAAGGGUUCUCCUCUAUGGUUAGAUACCUGUUUGAAAAUAGAUCUUAUCAAUGUCUUGAAUAUUUAUAUUUAUAUAAGUUGCACAAAGAAUUCUGAGUGCACUAUUUAUACCCCAAAGGGAUUUUGUAGAUGUUUCUCCAUUCAUAUAUGGUGUAGCUGUAGAGAUGCAUCUGGAAUAGGAUGGCAUUGUAAAACAGUCCAUUGGCAGUUGAGAGUAAAGGCUUUCUUUAGCCAUCAGCAUCAAAUUGGGCAUCCUCCCAAGCAUUAUACAGCAUCUUAUAUACUUAUACUGACUCAGGGGAUAUUUUUCUAGGAAGUAUUCAUCACAUCCACAUACUUUUAAAAUAUACUUGCCCUGAUAUUCUAAAACACAGAGUUUUAGUUGUUCAGAGGAUAGCAACAUACUUUGAGUUUUUUUCCUGACUGCUUCAGCAAUUACUUGUUCUGGCACACAGUCAUGUUUGAUUUUCAAAGUAUACUUCUGCUUGCCAUUAUUUGGAGAAACUAUUACCCAAAUCACCACAAUUAUUUUGUCCUUUAUCUAAUUUAUUGUAUAUGUGCUUUGGCAGUUCUACUGAAGAUUCUACAUUUGGAGGAUAGGCAUACAUUGCUCUACUAUGAGGUGAACUGAGAUCCCGAAGAUCCACAGCUUCUUUACAAACAUUCAGAAUAUUUCUUCGGAAGUCCUGUACUUCUGGAUCUUUAACCAUAUCAAAUUCACACACUGGCAUGCCGAUAACAAAACCAGCUUCUCGAUUGAGGAUCUUUUCUUCACAGUUGCCUACUGGUUCAAUGACUUUUAAACAGGCCUGAAAAAGCCGAAGGUCACAAAGUCAUCUUGUUUCAUCAAAAAAUUCUUCCCUUUCUGCUUCUUGGAUGACACGAAAAUGUAAGAAGAUUCAUCUUGAAAAAGUUGACGGAGAGGGUAUUUUCUUGCUUCCUUAAAUAGUUCAUGCUUUAUGAUUAUUAACGUGGCCUCAUGGAGGCAUUCUAAAGUCACGAUCAUUCCAUUUGGUAGUAAACAUUCUGCUAGGAUUCUUGGGGGCAUCAAGUGGAUGCCCCACAGUUCACCUGAUGAUGGUCGUGGAGGCAUUGUUCUGAUGCUUUACAAGUUUUACAUAUAAAACUACUUUAAGUAAUUAAAUUUAUGGAUGUUCCAAAGCAGUAACGCUCGGUGCUCCUCCAGGCUCAGCGGCUCUAACCGCAUCCGGUCCCAGCGCCGCGGGCGGCGGCGGCGGCGGCGCUGAGGGAGAGGAGAGAGGGCAGCCAGGACCCCGCCUCCCGGUCGCCCCGC
rnacentral:lncRNA from 1 species